AGGAAGGGAGGGAGGGAGAGAGAGAGAGUGCUUGAUCUUCCAUCCACUGGUUCACUCCCUUAAAUGGCUGCAACAGCUGAAGCUGAGCUGAUCCAAAGCCAGGAAUCAGGAGCUUCUUCCAGGUCUCCCAUGUGGGUGGCACCGGCACAAGGACUUGGACCAUCUUCCUCUGUUUUCCCAGGAGCAUUAAUAGGGAACUGGAUUAGAAGUGGAGCAGCUGGGGCUUGAACCUGCACCUAAAUAGGAUGCCAGCGUCACAGGCAAAGAUUUAACCUGCAACUCCACAAAGCUAGCCCUGCAUGUUCUCUUUUAAUGAAAGUCAUUUCCUUUUUUUUAAUAAGAAUUUUUUGAGCAGCAGAGAGAAAAAGAGCUCUCAUCUGCGAUUCACCUCCUAGAUGCUUACAAUGGCUGGGGCUGGGCCAUGCUGGAGCCAGGGACUGGGAACUCAACCCAGGUCUGCCGCGUGGGUGGCAGGGACCCAAUCACUUGAGUCAUCACUGAUGCUUCCCAGAGCCUGCAUUAGCAGGAAGACAGAACUGGGAGCCAGAGCUGCCUCUCCACCCCUGGCACUCUGGUAAGGGAUGCAGGUGUCCUGAGAGCUUAACCUUUAGGCCAAACACCUGCCAAACUCAUUUCCUCUUAAGUCAUACUGAAAAUGUGGAUGAGAGACUUUGUAAAGGGCUGUUCACCACACUGGUCUUGUUGGGUAUCUUGGUAUCUGUCUUAGUUCACACUUUUUCUUGUUACAAUAAAACACCUGAGGCUGAGUAUCGUUUAGCUCACAGUUUGGAGGUCUGCUAUGGUUUGAAUAUGGUUUGAAUGUGUCCCCCAAGGGUUCGUGUACUGGAAACUUAUUCCCCAGUGUGGCAGUGUUGAAUUAGUGGGAACUUUUAAAAGGUGGGGCCUAUUGAAAGGUAGUUAGCUCAUUGGGGUCGCUGAUCUCAGAAGGGAUUAAUAUAGUUCUUGCAGUAUCUUGUUUAGUUCCUAGGAGAACAAAUUAUUAUAAAAAGAGCAAGCCUGGUCUCUGAAUCUCUCUGGCGUCCCAUCUUGCCAUAUGAUUGUAUAAUCCUUGCCAUUAUGAUGUCCUCUGCCAGAAAGCCCUCCCCAGGGACUGGACUGAUUGAGCCACCUGAUUUCAGUCUUUUGGCUUCCAAAAUUCUUUGUUUAUAUGUUAUCCAGCCUCUAGUGUUUUGCUACAACAGCAGAAAACAGAUUAAGACAAGGUUCUAGAGCAUAGUGCCAGGGGCUGGUGCUAUGACGCAGAGAGUUAAGCCACCACUGCCUGCAAUGCCAGCAUCCCAUUUGAGCACUGAUUUGAGUCCUGGCUGCUCCAUUUCCAAUCCAGCUUCCCGCUAAUGCAUCUGGGAAGGCAUCAGAAGAUGGCCCAAGUGCUUGGACCCCUGCCACCUGCAUGGGAGACCCAGAUGGAGUUCUAGGCGCCUGACUUAAACCUGGCCCAACCCUGGCUGUUGCAGCCAUUUGGGGGAAUGAACCAGUGGAUAGAAGAUCUCUCUCUCUCUCUCGCUCUCUCUCCACCUCUUCCUGUAUGUCUCUCCUUCUGACACUCUGCAUUUCAAAUAAAUAAGUCUUAAAAAAAAAUUUGAGCUGAGUCUUUUUUUUAAAAGAUUUUAUUUACUUAUUUGAGAGGUAGAGUUAUAGAUAGUGAGAGGGAGAGGCAGAGAGAAAGGUCUUCCUUCCAUUGGUUCACUCCCCAGAUGGCCGCAAUGGCCAGAGCUGAGCUGAUUUGAAGCCAGGAGCCAGGAGCUUCUUCCGGGUCUCCCAUGCGGGAGACCAUCCCAAGCACUUGGGCCAUCCUCCACUGCCUUCCCAGGCCACAGCAGAGAGCCGGAUUGGAGGAGGGGCAGCCAGGACCAGAACUCAACGCCCAUAUGGGAUGCCAGUGCCGUAGGCAGAGGAUUAACCUACUGUGCCAUGGCGCCAGCCCCGAGCUGAGUCUUUAUUUUAUAUAUUUUACUUGAGAGGCACAGUUAUAGAGAGGGAGAGACAGGAAUCUUCCAUCCAUUGGUUCACCCGGCAAAUGGACACAGUGACAGGGCUGGACUGGACUGAAGCCAGGAUCCAGGAGCCUCUUCUGGGUCUCCCAUGCAGGUGCAGGGGCCCAAGCACCUGGGCCAUUCUCUGCUGCCUUCCCAGGAGCAUCAGCAGGGAGCUGGAUUGGAAGAGCAACCAGGACUUGAACCGGCACCCAUAUGGGAUGCUGGCACUGCAGGCAACGGCUUAACCCGCUAUGGCACAGCACUGGCCCCAAUAUUUUUAAAUCUAAACUUUUUGUCUUACUGUGUUAUACUGCUCAUUUUCUAUAAAAUUAUAAAGAAAUGUGUUAGGAAAAUAAAAGCACUUGUGAGCCUGCCAUUCUAUGACUAUUGACAUUUCUUUGUAGUGUCAUUGUUGAGCCAUUUGCUUAUAUAUGAGAGGGCAGUACAAAAGUUUUAUGGAAAUGGAAUUAAAAUAUAUUAAUUAAAGGAUAAAUUCCAUGUGUUCAAGGGGUCUUUAAAAUGUUAAUGAAAAAUGCUUAAUGAAAAAAACUAUGCCUCGAUUUCAAAAUUUUUUGCAUCAAGGUAAACAUGUUUUAAUUCCAUUUUUCAUAAACUUUUUGAAGUAGUCAUGUGUCUAUGUGUGAUUUUACACAUAUUUUAAAAUCAUACUAUAAAAAAGCCAUACUGUAUAUUCAAAUUCAUAUCCUGACUUAUUUUUGUAUUGUAACUUUGUAUAUAAUUAAAUAUUUCUAAGUACUCUUAACAUCUCCAUUAAAUUUUGCUGUAAGUAGUACCAUAAUUUAUUUAAUCCUUACAUUAUUAGGUCCAAUUUUUUUUCUAUAUUUUGAAUGCUAAUAUGUAAAUCUGUUUAAGUAUUUGAAUUUUUCUUCAGGUCAGGAGUGCUUCCCCUCUGUUUAUUUUCAGAGAUGUCAGAGCAGACAGAAGUGCUCCCCACGUCCGAGUAGAGGAGGUCCCAUUCACUUCCAGGUUCUGGAAUAGAAACUUCUGUGUCUUCCUCUGCAAGAUGAUUUGUUUGGGUGCUGAGGGUAAACCCAUUUUAGCAAAGAAAUAGUGUGAUCCACUUUGAGGGGGAUUUAACCACGAGAGUGACAGAGUGAGAGCGAGAGCGCGAGAGCAAGCCGUAUCAAGCCAAACAUUUGGAACAAGCGUAACUAAAUCGCAGACAGAAGAAAGGAUUUACCAGAAUAAAGGGUUACUAUUCCUGACUUAAAACUUCUACUACAUGGGGUGGGUGUUUGGCAGUUAAAAUGUCUGCAUCCCACCAAGGAGUCCCUGGGUUCACUACCUGUCUCCCCCUCCUAACUCUAGCUUCCUGCUAAUGUGCACCCUGGGAAGCAGCUCAUGUAGUGGGUCCCAGCCACCCAUGUGGGAGACCUGAUUGAGUUCCCAGCAACCGGCUUUGACCAUCCCAGCCCCAGUUGUUGUGGGCGUUUGGAAAGUAAACCCACAGAUGGGAUCUUUGUGUGUCUUUGGUCUGUCUCUCUAUCCUUCAAAAAAGUAAUUAAAAUUUUUAAAAUAAAUAAAAACUUUUAUUAGAUGAAAUACAAAGAAUAGCCAUCCCUGUUGAGAGCUGAAUUAGUUUUCUUCAAAGAGUGUCUUAUAAAACACAAAGAUAGAGACAUAGGAAUGUAUCAGAGAUGAGACGCCUAAAAACCAACGUAGGAGACCCAGGAUUCCUAGAAGGGCACAAAGGAACAGUUGGGUAAGGCAAGAUAAGCAAAUAGAAGAAAACCUGAGGUGAAGAACAUUUUAGACUUCAGAAUGAAAGGACUCAUGGAAUUCUGGAAAAAUAGUUAAUUGCUGGACUGCCAUAAAAAAUAAAUAAAGAUUAAAUAAAUAUAUAAAAAUAAAUAUAUUAAAAUAUAAAUAUAUUAAAAUUAUUUUAAAAUACAUAAAGAUAAAUAAAUAAAGCAAUAAAGAGAAAUCCUGCCAACUGGUAGACAGGAAGACAGGUCAGCUUUGAGGAGAGUUACGAGGUAUGGAGGUUCUCAUCUGCUCCAUGACACAAGAAGAGACAGCAGAGUCGCAGGGAUUAGUGACUCUAAAAACCCUAGAAUGAGUCUCCUGUAUUUGUCUAUAUCAACCUGGGUUCUUUCUUGCAAGCCACAGAAGCUGAUUUCAGUUGAUUUAGGAAGAAAAACAUUUUUUACAGGAUAAAAUGUUGUUGGAGAGCCAGAAAGCUAGGCUGGGAGGCUCUGCAGCCAGAAACAGGCCUCCAGUCUCAUGCAGAACUGGCCCAGGCGGGACGCAGCUGCAGAGUCCCUGGGCAUAUUUGGUGCAGCUUGUGCCAGGCACUGCUGGCGUUGGACAUCUGCAGGAGUCCUUGGCCCCUGCUUGCCAGAACCUUGAUCUCGCAGCAAUCACCGUUGCUGCCAGUGGGCAUUUCUCAUCAUUGUCCUUACUUUGCAGCAUUAGGACGAGUGUAAAUGAUAGGAGUGUCAAGGGGACUUCUUAGCACAAGGUGGCACCAACAAAGUAGGCAGCUGGCAUAUACAGCUUGUUUAAAGGGAGGUAGACCCUGCCUUCAGCUGGGACUGAUAAGGUGAAGGAAGUCUCCAAGCAUAGGAAAGAAAGGUUCAAAGGUGAGGUAGUCAGAAAGAAUGUCAUAAUCAAAUACUUCGCCUAAGAUAUCAUUCAGUGAAUCAGGGCAAAAGAAGAUAUUCUUACACUUCAAGUUAUUUAUCAACAGAUGCUCGAAUGUCCAAUUAGAUAUUGGUCCAAUUGGAUCAAAAUAGAAAUAUCAAGCUAGAGGAAGUUAUAAAGUAUUUGACAGUGGUUAACAGUGAAUCUUAUAUACAUUGUAUACAUAAGCUGCCUGUUACAUAAACUGUGUACGUUGUAUAUGUAAACUGUGUAUUUAUAUACAUAAACUGUAUGUGUUGUAUAUGUUAAUGUGUAUGUUGUGUACAUAAAAUAGAGUAUGUUGAUGUGGCUGAAAAUUCACCAUGUAAUUGUAAAUAAAAUAAGGAUUCCUGAGAAGGAGGAUCAGACUAUAAAGGGAAAAAUCUAAGAAAUAGCCUGCAACUAAAAAGUCUGAACUAUUUCAGUAGAAACUGAGAUUAGGGAUGGGGCAUACAAGGCAUUCUCUUGUAAAAUUCUCUAAAGAUCUCUACUGGUGAGAGAUUGGGGAGCAUAGUUAUUUAAUUUUGAUAAAGAUUUGGUUUAGACUGUCAGGAAUGGCAGGUAAACACUGACAGACUAAAAGAAUUUAGUAUUCUCAAAAUAACAGGGAUUGAGGAUAAUAAUGAGGAGCAAAUUGGUCAGAAAAGAGUAAAGAGAAAGAGUAUCAACUUACCAGAAACGAGGAAAGGCAAAAAAAAAAAAAAAGAAGAAACGAGUAUGUAAACAAAAUGAAGUAGAAGCAAUAAAACCAGAUAAACAGUCCAUAAUAAAUAUUCUUAAACUACACUAACCUGUCCAAAAGCAAAGAUCAGCAGUGUUAGCAUCAAAACCAAAUGCAAAAACGAAAGCAAUGAAUGAGACAGAGUUACUAUAUACUGAUGAAAACCAAAAAUCUUCAACUGUCUUUAACAUUUAAAUGGCAAAAUACAAAGAGUGAGUCGAAAGAAUUUAUUUAAAAUCAUAUUAUACUCAGAGGCACUAAUUCUGUGUCUUUUUUAAUUUGACAAGUCAAGUAAACUAGAUUGCCAGCUCCAUGCCCGAGGGGCCAGUGUGUAGCGUGAAUAUGUGAGUUAGGGGCAGAAGACAACGGGGCUGAUGGGAGUUGCACAGUGAACUGUAUAAUGUAUGCUUUGCCUGAAGGCAGUAGGAUUCAUACAUUUUAAAGCACUUUGCUGGCCAGACAGAGCAGAUCUGUAGUUUAUAGGCUGCUAAUUUUCAACCUCUGAAACAAACAAAUAAAAAAUAUAAAGAUGUCAAACACCCACAAAAGUAUGGACCAAGGAAUAUGCAUUCUUCCUCUAGGUUCAGGGAGUAUUUAGACAAGUGCAUCCUAGACUUUGUCACAGAAAACAAUUAAAAUAUAAAAAUUAAGACCUUAUAGGCAGUAACUUAUCAUCUUAAUCCACUGAAAUUAGAAGUUUAAAGAAUGCUGUUUUAAAAAAUGCCUUUUAAAAAUAGCAUCUGCAUCAAAAGAAAAUCAAAACAGAAAUUGUAAACCAUUUAGAAACAAACAGAAAGAGGAGAGUAUUGUAGGAAUAUCUGUAGAAUAAAACUAAAGUUAUAUUUUAGGAAAAUGUAUAAUUAUAGAUGCUUUCAUUAGUGUCAGAAAAGAAAAAACCAAAAACUGUAUGAGUGAAAUAUCCAACUUACUAAAAACUAGAAAAAAAGAAAUGGAUAAUGAUAAAAGCUAAAGUGAAUGAUAUAGAAAACAUCAUGUAAUAGAGAAGAUAAAUAAGAUCAAACAUGAGAUUUUUAGAAAGGCAAAUAAUGGAGAUUGUCCCAGAUAAAAAGGUAUGGAAGAAAUGAAAAAUUAAAUCUGUAACAAUGCAUUUGAAAAAUGGGGUGUAAUGAGCAAUUUUCCCUCAAAAUAUAAAUUUGCAGAAUUUUUCCUAGAAAAAAUAUAGAAUCUGAAAUACCAUCUCUAGUAGUUAACAUUGUAUUGGUCCUAAUGCAAUAAGACAGAAUUUGUUUUAAAUCCUCAAAAAAGAAUUUAUGAUUAUCUGUAUGAUAAAUAUUAAACAACAAUGAUUUCACAAUAACUGGUUAGCAUUAUAAGGUAAAAAAAAAGUCUAGUUCAUAAUUGCCAUACAGUAUCUCUGAAUAAUUUUAACUAGAUAAUUGUAGGAUACAAAGUGAAAAGUAUUAAAUCUCACUUGAAGUAAUGAAGAAACUUCACAGUGUUCUAGAAUGAGCAAGACUUAUUAUAAAGUCUUUAAUUCUUCCCAAAUAGCCUGGAUAUGAGACUACUUACUUCUCCAGAAUUUUUUUUUUUUUUGAGAUUUAUUUGUUUUGAAAGGCAGAGUUACAGAGAGACAGAGAAUCAGAGAGAGAGAGGGAGGGAGGGGGGAAAGGAGAGGGAGAGGGAGGGAGAGGGAGAGGGAGGGAGAGAGAGAAAGAAAUCUUCCAUUUGCUGGUACACUCUCCAAAUGGCCACAAUGGCCAGUAUUGAGCCAGACUGAAGCCAGAAGCCAGGAGCUUCUUCUGGGUCUCCCACAUGGAUACAGGAUCCCAAGUACUUAGCCCAUCUGCUGCUGCUUCCCCAAGUUCAUUAGCAGGGAGCUGGAUCAGAAGUGGAACAUCCCAGACUUAAACUAGUGCCUGCUACACCACAGCAUCAGCCCCCAGGAUUUUUCAUCCGAGCAAAGUAAACUCCUUAUAUUCAAGCCUUACAAAAAGAAUCUUUUUAAAUGGAAUGUUACUUUGAAUAACAAAGUAAUGUUUAGGAAAGACAGACUGAAAUAAAUCUCAAUCUUUUUAAAUUUUAGAGUUUUAUAGAUGACACUUGACAGAGUUGGUUUGGAGAAAUUUAAUACAAAUUCAGUACUUCUUGGAUACGGUCUUAUAGAUACAGGUGUUACAUAUUGUUAAACUGAGGCUUGAAAAGAUUAUAUAACAGUAAAUAAGUAGUUAGGUUGUAGAAGUCACAAAUACAUACAGGAAGAGGGCCGGCGCCGCGGCUCACUAGGCUAAUCCUCCGCCUAGCGGCGCCGGCACACCGGGUUCUAGUCCCGGUCGGGGCGCCGGAUUCUGUCCCGGUUGCCCCUCUUCCAGGCCAGCCCUCUGCUGUGGCUAGGGAGUGCAGUGGAGGAUGGCCCAGGUGCUUGGGCCCUGCACCCCAUGGGAGACCAGGAAAAGCACCUGGCUCCUGGCUCCUGCCAUCGGAUCAGCGUGGUGCGCCGGCCGCAGCGCGCCGGCCGCGGCGGCCAUUGGAGGGUGAACCAACGGCAAAGGAAGACCUUUCUCUCUGUCUCUCUCUCUCACUGUCCACUCUGCCUGUCAAAAAAAAAAUAAAUAAAAAUAAAAAAAAAAAAAAACAAAUACAUACAGGAAGAAUUUGUUUUAGAAAAUUGACCUACUGGCUGGCGCCGCGGCUCACUAGGCUAAUCCUCCGCCUGCGGCGCCGGCACACCAGGUUCUAGUCCCAGUCGGGGCACCGGAGUCUGUCCUGGUUGCCCCUCUUCCAGGCCAGCUCUCUGCUGUGGCCCGGGAGUGCAGUGGAGGAUGGCCCAAGUCCUUGGGCCCUGCACCCCAUGGGAGACCAGGAUAAGUACCUGGCUCCUGCCUUCGGAUCAGCAUGGUGUGCCGGCUGCAGUGAACUGCCAUGGCGGCCAUUGGAGGGUGAACCAACGGCAAAGGAAGACCUUUCUCUCUGUCUCUCUCUCUCACUGUCCACUCUGCCUGUCAAAAAAAAAAAAAAAAAGAAAAGAAAAGAAAAAAGAAAAUUGACCUACUAUUACAUAAAUAUAUCUUUGUGACUUGGUAAGACAUUUUCAGUGACAGCUUUAUACCAUGACUGGAUUCACUCAGUGCCACAUCUCACACAGCUCUUGUGUUUCUCUGCAAAUCAGAAUAGCUAACUUAAAAUUUGCUCUAGUAAUGAUGAAGAUAGUGAUGUAGAACAUACAAGUGAUAAGUUUGGGUAAACAUUUUCUUGAACUAUAAGAUCAAUAUUUCUAAAUGAACAUAUUUUAUAUAAUAUUUAAAAGAUGCAUAUACAAAUAAAUAUGUGUUAUAUAUUUAUAUUAUGUAAUGACUAUAAAUAAAUACAUACUAAUAUAUACAUUAGAAGUGGGAAUAUGACUAUUUGCAGCAAUAAAAACUUAUUUAAGUUGAUCAAAAAGCUUGUUUCUUUUUGGUUUGCUCUUAUUAAGAAAUGAGUAUCACUUAAUAUUCAAAGUCACUCUCUGUGUUAGGAUUAAAUAUGGCUGCAAGUGACAGAACCACCAAAAUAAAAGUGGCUUAUUUUGGGGCUGGUGCUGUGGCACAGCUUAAGACCUGAGUGCUCCACUUCUGAUCUAGCUCCCUAGUAAUGGCCUGGGGAAAGCAGCAAAUUGGCCCAAAUACUUGGGCUCCUGUACCCGCAUGGGAGACUUGAAAGAAGCUCCUGGCUCCUGGCUACUUCAUCAACAACUUAAGUAAGCUUUUAUUGCUGCAAAUAGUCAUAUUCCCACUUUUAAUUUAUAUAUUAAUAUGUAUGUAUUUAUAAUCAUUACAUAAUAUAAAUACAAAAACAUUCAAAUAAAUAUUUAUCUUUAAAGGUUAAUUUCUUAUUUAUUUUUGAAAGGUGGUGUUACAGAGAGGGAGGGAGAGACAGAAAGAUCUUCUAUCUGCUGGUUUACUCCCUAAAUGGCCGCCAUGGCUAGGGCUGAGUCAGGCCAAAGCUAGGAGCCAGGAGCUGCUUCUAGGUUUCCCCCGUGGGUGCAGGGGCCCGAGCACUCUGCUUUGCCAGAUGCAUUAGUAGGGAGCUGGAUCGGAAGUGGAGCAGCCAGGCUCAAACCGCUGCCCAUGUGGGAUACCAGUGUUGCAGGUGGAAGUUUAACCUGCUAUGCCACAACGCUGACCCUAAAUCUUUACUUUAAAAAAAAAUUUUAGAAAAGAUUUAUUUAUUUGAAAGGCAGAGUUACAGACAAACACAUAUACACACUGGUUGGGGAGGGGAAGAGAGAGAAAUCUUCUAUCUGCUGGUUCACUCCUCAAAUGGCUGCAAUGGCAGGGGAUGGACCAGGCUGAAGCCAGGAAGCAGGAAGUCCAUCUGGGUCUCCCACAUGGGUACAGGGGCCCAAGAACUUGGGUCAUCUUCUGUUGCCCUCCCAGGUGUGUUAGCUGGGAGCUGGAUCAGAAGUAGAGCAGCGAGGACUCUAAAUGGUACUCAUAUGGAUUGCAGGCAUUGCAGACAGUGGCUUAACCCACUGUGCCAUGAUUCUGGCCCCAAGGACACAUUUCUUAUGUAGAAUUCUGGGGGUGUGGUCCAGGUCUGGCUGGCCUGGUACUCAACCGGAUAGAACCCUGGCUCCUGGUGACUUCUAGCUCUACUGUGUGAGGCCUUAACCACAUGAUCUAAAGUGGUGGCCAUUUUCUCCCAGGCAGCAGGUUGAAGGAAAGGGGUAAGGAGAGAGAGCAGAGGUAAUUCAUGCAGUGCCUAUAAAGCAGACCUUCCAGGAAAUGCUUCAUCCAUUGGCCUGGUCACACACCACAGAAGAUGCUGAGAAUGUCUCUCUGGUACCACAUGCGCAAUGAAAAGUUGUGUUACUGAGGAAGAAAAAGAGAAGGAAUACUGGGGUACAGCUAGCUUCUAUCUGCACAUACGUACUCCAAGGAAAAUAUGGUAAAAUAUCCCUAUUUUGGGGCUGGCACUGUGGUGCAGCAGGUUAAAGCCUCCAGCCUGCAGUGCCGGCAUCCUCUAUGGGCUCUGGUUCAAGUCCUGGCUGCUCCCUUCCGAUCCAACUCUCUGCUUGUGGCCUGGGACAGCAGUGGAAGAUGGGCCAACUCCUUGGACCCUGUACCUCUAUGGAAGACCCGGAAGAAGCUCCUGGCUCCUGGCUUUGGAUCAGCUCAGCUCUGACCGUUGCAGUCAUUUGGGGAAUGAACCAGUGGAAUGGAAGACCUCUCUCUCUCUGGCUCUACGUCUCUCUGUAACUCUCUUUCAAAUAAAUAAAAUAAUUAUUUUUAAAAAUCCCUAUUUUAAGUUCAUCUAUAAACAAAUGAAACGAAACACCGAAAGAGGUGGUGUAGAGGCCAAUAGGCAGUAGGGCGAUAAACAGUUCAAAUGAUGAAAAAGGAAAAACAAAAUAUUCAGCAUCAGUAGUAAUCAGAGAAAUGCAAAUCAAAAGAAGCAUUUUUCAUCCUUCAAAAAGAAUAAUUUCCUCAGGCAUUUGGCAGAGCAGUUAAGAUACCACUUGAGAUGCCUGCAUCCCAUAUCAGAGUGGCUGGUUCAAGGCCUAGCUCUGCUUCCAACUUCAACUUCCUGCUAAUAUGCACCCUGAGAAGCAGUGGUGAUAGUUCAGACAGUUGGGUCCUUACACCCAUGUAGGAAACCUGUAUUGAGUUACCAGCUUCUGGCCUCAGCCUGGUCCAGCCCCAACUAUUGAAAGACAUUUGGGAAGUGAACCAGUGGAUGGAAGAUCAAUCUGUAUCUAUCUCUUUCUGCCUUUCAAAUAAGUACAUUAAAAAUUUUUUAAUUGCCAGUACUGGUAUAAGGGCAGCACA